rnacentral:rRNA from 1 species
GACGAACGCUGGCGGCGUGCUUAACACAUGCAAGUCGAACGAAGUGGCGAACGGGUGAGUAACGCGUACUCAACCUGCCCUUCAGAGGGGGACAACAGUUGGAAACGACUGCUAAUACCGCAUACUGAAGGAGGGGUUUGAGUCGGAUUAGCUAGUUGGAGGGGAAACGGCUCACCAGUGCGAUGAUCAGUAGCGGGUCUGAGAAGGUGGACCACCAAAUUGGGACCGAGACACGGUCCAGAAGCCUACGGGAAGCAGCAGUGGGGGAUCAUCCGAAAUUGACGGAAGUCUGGCGGAGCACCGCCGGGGUGGAGAGGACGGCCUUCGGGUUGUAAAGCUCUGUUAAUCGGGACGCGGUACCGGAAUAGAAAGCAACGGCUAACUACGUGCCAGCAGCCGCGGUAAUUC